rnacentral:lncRNA from 1 species
ACAGCGCAAAUACCUAAGACGGACCGCAAAAGGAAGAUACGACACACACUGGCGCUAACUUUUUUGUUUCUUCG